AGGUAGGGAUGAAAGGAGAUAGCAUACUUACUUUGCAUGUGUUGCGAAGUCAAAGCUCGGAUCCUUGAAGAGAAGUGUCAUACUCCCAGAUCAAGAUGUGCAAGUGUGAUAUAUGGUGGACUAGGUUGCUCCUUUAUUUGCUACACUCUCUCUACUUGUAUAUUGAGACAUGGCUAGCAUUUUCUUUUUCUUCGAGCUUUAUGUGCUCAAUUUUUUUUUGUGGACUUGCACAUGUCCAUCUUUUUAUUUCAUUUUGCCUAGGCUUUUGAUGUCUCAUUUACCAAAUAAUGCUUAGAGAGAGAUAUUCUAACAUUUAGAGUAUGGGGCAACCUAUUUAGUGGAUGCGAAAUACAUGUGGUUGCGUACUUCCAGUGUAGAAGCAGCAUAUAUAUAUGUGGUAUGUACGUGAUCUUGAUCUUAGGAGCAUGAAAAGUCUCUUAACAGGGGUCAACAAGACUUGACGACACUCAACACAAAGCAAAUAGCUUAUGUGGAAAGGUUGCAAUCAUGUAAAGUAGAUAUAGCUGUGGUAGGAAUUCAUCACCAUUGAGGAACAAUUAAGGUUUUGAUCAUUUUAAGAAUAAAUCUCUGAUAAUCAUGCAUGCUUAGAAUAAUAUUAUAGCAGCUCUUGUCUCACUAUCUCAUGUCCCACAACAACUUAGACUUAGUUCUAGCACUUGCAACCCACAAAGUUUUCAGGUUCAUGGCAGUUUAAGUGAGCUAAGUGAUCCAUACUUGGAGAAAUACUAAGUUGUAUACUAGGUACUAGAGAAACAUUAACAAGCAACUAGUCAUCAUUUCCAUGAGGGAUAUAGACAUACAUGAAGCAUAUAUGCUAAAGGGAAAUGCUAAUUUUUUUUAGAGCAAGAAUGAUAAAAUGCAUGGAAAUAAAUAGGAUAGAAUACUUACCUUGGUGGGGGAGAGGAUCUCCCCCAAGCUUGUCCUUCCUCACUGGGGUGGAUACGAUGG
rnacentral:lncRNA from 1 species